GCUCUGCCAGCCCGCCCGGCCACGCAGGGUGAGGCGCUGCCAGCCCCACCUGCGGGCUGCGACCUGCGGGCUGGCAGCGACUGCGGGCAGCGACCUGCGCGCUGCGAGCUGAGGGCAGCGACCUGAGGGCAGCGACCGACGCGCCGCCUCAGCGCCCUCCCUGCCGCGGCGGAGCGGGGAGAGGGGACGUGCUGUGGGCUGAGAGGCGGACGGGGGUCGCUAGCAAAGCGAUAGGAGAACUGACCUGCCGCGGGGAUGGCGGUGGGCAGCAGCAGCAGCUGGUGGAGCAGCAAGGCUGGCAGGAGAUGUGAUGCAGAUAUCUGAAUUCUACGAAGUCAUAGACUGGAGAAAAAAAGAAAUAUUUCCUGCCAAAUUGUCUUUGGAAUACAUCCAUAAAAACUAAAGGAGGGAGAAAAUAGGAAAACUGAAGCCAAAAGGUUAGCUGUAAGGUUUUCCAGUUCUAGUUUGAGCAAGGCAAUAUCUGAGAAAAUGCUGUGGAUACUUAUAUAGAAAAUAAUAUCCAGGAAAUUGGAUCAGACCAGAGCAGUUGUUCAGCCUUGCUUCCUAAUCUGAAUUACCAGGAAUGAAGAUUUUUAUUCACGUUAAAUUCACACCUAUAAUUCAGUUUAGACACAACCUGUAAGAGUGCUGUAUUUAUUGUAAAGUUUUUUCAUCCUUCUAAAUAUUAGUGCUCCCUUAGAGUUCUAAGUUGGGGUCAAUAACUCCAAAUCAGUUUUUAUUUUGCCAGCUUCCUGUUGCUAGUAGAGAUGGGCUACCAGAGAACAGCAAUAGCUCUCUGUCCAUCACCAGAACAAAAGGAUUGGGGUUUUUCCAAGCAAUGUUCAUAAAGCCUAAAUUUAAGUACCUAAUCUUUGUCUGCUUCUGUAUUUAUGACUAUUGAACUGUAUGAUACUUUUCUGAGAUCCACAUGUAAGUCUGGGCACGUUGUACUGUUGGAUUUUGUUGUAUUCCUAACACUUCAGUGCUCUAAGCCAUCACUCUUACAUUGACAAUGUUUGUAUUUUACCUGCUUCAUGUUAAGGGUUCUCCUGACACUGCCUCAGGGCAAGUUCCUGACACACAGCAGCCUCACAUCUGCCACAUACUCAAAUAUCUGGGCUAGAAGGAGCUGUGAUAUGCUCCAGGUAGGUCAUCAAUGCAAACAAUUAAGGAAUGAGGACUUUUGCUAGUUAAAAAGUAUAAAGUGACACCCAGCCUAGCUAUGCACAACAUAUUCUAAGUAUUGAAAAGCUUUGUGGAAACGUGUCUACUUUGUAUUCUGUAACCACUAAUUAGAAAUACUGAACAACAUUAGUUCCAAAGAGUUACAGUGUCUCUAUCUUGACAGUUACCUUCACCACAAUCUAUUGUUAUCUUACUUUUACAAAUCCAUAAUUUUAUUGCAGUAAAAUAAAAAGCUUCCUAUCUGACAUGAUAUCACAGUUCUUUUUGGAUAUGUGCACUGUCUGGAAUAUCAAAAGUUUUCUGUAAGCAUGCCAUGAUUAACUUUGAUAAACUCACUGUGUAUUAUGUCAUUUUCUGUUUAUUGUGAAAUCUUCAAUUACACUUUCUCCAGGUGUUCCAUAUUACAAAGGUUAAACAACUAUUCCUCAGCCACCCAAGACCUCAUUUUUCUUCUUUUAAAUACAAAUUUUGUGUUGUACGGCUUCUAGCUAUAAAGUAAAAUCUUCAACCUGACAGAAUCUUUAUUAUUUCUUUCUACAUUCUGAGUCCAUUUUCUUGAAGGUCCGAAGUGAUGCUUUCCAGCCCUCCCAAAUUCAGCAUAUCACUUCGCAACACAUGAACACAGAAACUGCCCAAAGACCUGCUGAUGGAGAGACAAGAAUAUUCAGAGGUGAAUUAGAGAAUUUGAGCUUUUGUUUAUAGAGGAUUUUUUCCCCAUUGAUUUUAAAGGACUGUGGGAAAACCAGGCUGCUGAUUACUCUGCUUAAGUCGUAACAC